UUCAAGUUAAACCGAACUCAGCCGUUUCCGCGCCGUCUGCAGCUUAUUCUGCUUGCCCGUCCCUCUCCCCUCUCCCCUCUCCGAAAGAGGCCCCUCCUUGGAUAGUCACUGUUGAAAAAUCAAGCCAGGGGAAAACCCGGGUCCAGGAUCCCUACUCUAGCCGCCAUUUUGAAGAGCGCGUUCUUGAAAUGUUGCCCUAGUCAAUGAACUUGCUGGAAUAUCGUGUGCAGGAAAUCGGUAAGAGGUAUAGAAUUGAUUGGAUUCCUGAUGAACAUCCAAGGCAGUUUAGUGGGUGGAAGUAUAUUUUGUUGCAAAAAGUCAUCGUCUCUGCAGAUAACGAUGAAUUAGCAGUUAUGGUUUUUCUGAAUUUGGAGUUGAUGGUUUGGAGGAGCUGUGAUAAGAAAUGGGUCGACUUGGGUUGUGCCAAUGUUGAUGUUCAGGAUAUUGUUUAUUAUUAGAAGCAGUUUCAUGUAGUGAUGUCAGAUGGGCAUAUUUUAAGUGUUGAUUCGAAGUCUUUGGAGGUUAGUGAAGCUUUGCCUCUAUUGUUGAUACGUUUUACUUACAAAAGCUUCGUAAAUACAUCGAUUGAUUUGUAUUUGAUUAAAAAUCGCAGUAGUAGUGAUAAAAAAUUUGGAAAUAAAAGAAAUUUCUCUCCAGCUAGGGGUGAGAAAGUGGUUUUGAAUUCUGUUUUCUGUGUGUUUAAAAGAAGAACAAGAGUGGAUUGAAGUGAAGGAUUUGGAGGGUAAAGCAUUGUUUCUGUUUGAUGGAGGCAGCUUUUUUUUUUUUUUUGGCUAAAGACUUUUUGGAAUAAAACCAAAUUGUGUUUGUAUGGGUGAAACUGGUUUCUUUGGGGUUACAUAUGAUUUUCCUGGGAUGUAUACUUCAGUUUUUGACUUCAAUGACGGUAGUAACAAGUGGCUUGUAUCAUUUCCUGAAUCUUCAGAGAUAUUUUGGCCUCCACUAGUUUGGCUCUUUCCUGAAUUGGUGGAUUCUCAAGCUUUUGUGGCUUCAGUAUGUUCAGCCCUUGGUGCUUUUGCCAGCUUCUAUGUGGAUUUUUUCCAUGAUGCAUCUACUGAUUGUUCCCUGGAUUCUUACUCUAUCAAAUCUUUACUGAAUUGAAUCUUUUUCAUCAUUGUUUACAUACGAAGCAUUAUUUUGUUCCGAGUUUAAUGGAAAGGUCUGUUCUCAUAUUCACCUAGAAAAUUUUGCACUAUCUUUCCAGGUCACAUUCAUCAUAACUUUUUGUUCUCCUUAGUACUUCAACAAACGCCUGCAAUUGAGCUUUAUUAUUACAUGUUAGGUACUUGAAGAGCUUCUAUGGAUCGAUUCGAAGACAUUUUACCAAAGAAGUUCUGUGAUUAACUGCUUGUAGAGCAUUUUCAUUGUCAAUGUGAAGAUUUGAUAAACAGCUUGGUCAGACCAUGCCUGGAAUAUUUGUGAGUAUGUAUAUAUGCAUUAUGGAUCUUAAUGUUAUGAAACAAGAUUUAAGCUUAAUCAUUUAAGUCUCAUCUCCUGAUUAAGCCUUAGACUCCUUUAUAACAUCUCGCCUUCCUAUACUUUUUGAGCUGCUAAUAUUGUCCUGAUGAGCUUAGAGUCUUUCAAUUCAUUGUUAAGAGAAUUGAUAAUCUGGCCCAAGUAGGGUUACAAGAGUGGAGUUGCUCACAAGCUGUUUGUGGCUCGGUUGACAUCAAGCUUUAUUAUUACAUGUAAGGUACUUGAAGAGCUUCUAUGGAUCGAUUUGAAGACAUUUUAUUGAAGAAGUUUCUGGAAUCGACCACUUGAAGAGCGUUUCAUCGUCAAUGUGAAGAUUUGAUUAACAUAUUGGUCGGACCAUGCCCAGAAUAUUAAGAAUUCUAUUUUUAUUAGUUGGUAGUUAUGCUGUUUUUAAUUUGUGAGCAUGUAUAUAUGCAUUAUGGAUCUUACUGUUGUGAAAUAAGAUUUAAGCUUGAUCAUUUAA